rnacentral:rRNA from 1 species
UACGGAGGGUGCGAGCGUUAAUCGGAAUUACUGGGCGUAAAGCGCGCGUAGGCGGCUUGAUAAGCCGGUUGUGAAAGCCCCGGGCUCAACCUGGGAACGGCAUCCGGAACUGUCAAGCUAGAGUGCAGGAGAGGAAGGUAGAAUUCCCGGUGUAGCGGUGAAAUGCGUAGAGAUCGGGAGGAAUACCAGUGGCGAAGGCGGCCUUCUGGACUGACACUGACGCUGAGGUGCGAAAGCGUGGGUAGCAAACAGG